AAAUUCCCGUUCGCGUGCCCAAGUUUUUAACUGGGCAUGUGCAGGAAUCUCACAGCGCUAUCUAGUGUAGGCAGAUGACGUGUCCCACAGGGACUUCAUCUACCCACACAAAGAUGGCGGCGCUCUGAACCUAGGUCAGGGCAGAAAAAUAAAGUUUAAAAAUAGGUAAUAUGGGGUGUUUUGGGCAUUUGGGUUUUACUAGGGGGUCAAUUAAAUGUCGUGAAGGCAGGAGGCGGGGUUAAAAAAAGAAACGGGAUUCGCCCAUUAUAAUGCCGCUUUAAACUAAUUAUCUACCAG